GACAACCUCCAGGGAGACCUUUCAUCCAAGCGCCACAGUCCCCAUCAUCAUCAACCCAGGAAGGGGAGAAAGCAGGAUUCCUGCAUCUGCCUGUUCUAACACUUUGGUUUUUCAUUUUUCUCCUGCUUCUAAACAUAGCUGAUGGGUGCUCCUUUUUCAUAGAGGGAGGCUUUCGUAUGGCUGCCCUUCCUGAAGCUCAUCACAUUCCUGCCGAUGGAGGUCCCAGGACAUGCUCGCUCCCACUUACCCUUCAGAAUGCACAGCCCUGAUGAUGGGACUGCAGGGCCAGAGGGUGUGUGGGGGCACCUGUGUGCAGGUGUUUGCUGCCGGUGGGGAGCUGGGGCCACUGGAGGAUGAGGGGAUGGUGCUCGGAAGCUUCUUUUCAGUGCAUUGGAAACAGGCAGUUGGAAGGUGACGCCACCUUCCUGAGCUAUACAGAUCUUCAUUCAUUUACUUGGUAUUACGUAUUCCAACUCACCCUGAAAAACCAAUGAACAACAGGUAAAAUGUCCACUUAGAAUCCUACUGUCGAGUCCAGGGAACUUGUAGAAAGAGAAUUCCUCAAGUUCUAAUUCAUAGGUGAGUAGGGAGUAACACAAUACCGUGUUUUAGCUGCUUCUGCUAAAAAUAAGUCUCUGAAAACCUCUUUCCUUAGAAAUUCCCAUCGAGGGAGGCUCUGAGAACACUUUCCACCCUCAAGACACUUAAUUAACUCCACGGGCGUCCACGGGGACUGUUUGAACUGGAGGCAUCUGAACCCAGGAAGGCAGCUCCGGGGCUGGGCACGGUCCUCCGGGAGCUCUGCCUUCCUCCUGGGACACACCAUGAUGGAGGCUUGAACAUCAGGAGAAAUUCUGCAAGAACAGCAGAUCCCGGACUGUGCGCCCUUCAUAUUAGAGGAUGACCAGUUGUUUCUGAGCAGCCCCUGCCUGGUUUGGGUUGGCCUGAAUGCACCCUGGGGAGAGAGAAUUGUAAUACCAACUUUUGUCCACUUGAGGAAUACUGAUUGAACUCCAACAAAGUGCCCGGCACAAGACCAGCAGCCGAGGAGAAGGCUCUAAGCACAGCAGAAAAAAGUCCCUGCUUGCUGGGAGCUUGUGUGCUGGUGAAGGAAGACAGGCAGACACGCAGGAGAUGUGCACCCUGUUAGAUGAGGAGCGUGAGGAGAUGAGGACAGGCAGGCCAGGGGAAGAGGAAGCAGCAGAGUCGGCCUUGGGCAAGGUCGGAAAUUUCACAAAGGUACCAAGGAAGGCAGUGGCCACUUUGGCCAAGGUUGUAGGAGACUUUCCCAGGUUGGACACUGAAAGUUCCAGUCCCAGGAAACCCCCCAGUCCCAGGCAAACUGUGGAGAGCAGGGCAGGUGUGUUUUGGGUGCUGCCGUGGGGGAUGGGGCACCUGCCAUGAGGACGUCCUAGAAGAACGUUCUGAGCAGCUCUGCACAAACAAGCCCAGGGCGGCAUGCUGUUUACUCACUCACUGAUGCCAUAAAACGUACCUGCCUGCGGUCGGGCGCUGUGGCUCACUCCUGUAAUCCCAGCACUUUGGGAGGCUGAAGCGGGCGGAUCACAAGGUCAGGAGAUUGAGACCAUCCUGGCUAACACAGUGAAACCCCGUCUGUACUAAAAAUACAAAAAAAAAAAAAAAAAA
ensembl:lncRNA